UGCAGUCGAGCGAGGACUUCGGUUCUAGCGGCGGANGGGUUAGUAACGCGUGGGAACGUACCCUUUUCUACGGAAUAGCCUCGGGAAACUGAGAGUAAUACCGUAUACGCCCUUUGGGGGAAAGAUUUAUCGGAGAAGGAUCGGCCCGCGUUAGAUUAGAUAGUUGGUGGGGUAAUGGCCUACCAAGUCUACGAUCUAUAGCUGGUUUGAGAGGAUGAUCAGCAACACUGGGACUGAGACACGGCCCAGACUCCUACGGGAGGCAGCAGUGGGGAAUCUUAGACAAUGGGCGCAAGCCUGAUCUAGCCAUGCCGCGUGAGUGAUGAAGGCCUUAGGGUCGUAAAGCUCUUUCGCCUGUGAAGAUAAUGACUGUAGCAGGUAAAGAAACCCCGGCUAACUCCGUGCCAGCAGCCGCGGUAAUACGGAGGGGGUUAGCGUUGUUCGGAAUUACUGGGCGUAAAGCGCGCGUAGGCUGACAUUUAAGUCAGAGGUGAAAUCCCAGGGCUCAACCCUGGAACUGCCUUUGAUACUGGGUGUCUUGAGUUCGAGAGAGGUGAGUGGAAUUCCGAGUGUAGAGGUGAAAUUCGUAGAUAUUCGGAGGAACACCAGUGGCGAAGGCGGCUCACUGGCUCGAUACUGACGCUGAGGUGCGAAAGUGUGGGGAGCAAACAGGAUUAGUACCCUGGUA
rnacentral:rRNA from 1 species